rnacentral:rRNA from 1 species
AAAUUGAAGAGUUUGAUCAUGGCUCAGAUUGAACGCUGGCGGCAGGCCUAACACAUGCAAGUCGAACGGUAACAGGAAGCAGCUUGCUGCUUUGCUGACGAGUGGCGGACGGGUGAGUAAUGUCUGGGAAACUGCCUGAUGGAGGGGGAUAACUACUGGAAACGGUGGCUAAUACCGCAUAACGUCGCAAGACCAAAGAGGGGGACCUUCGGGCCUCUUGCCAUCAGAUGUGCCCAGAUGGGAUUAGCUUGUUGGUGAGGUAACGGCUCACCAAGGCGACGAUCCCUAGCUGGUCUGAGAGGAUGACCAGCCACACUGGAACUGAGACACGGUCCAGACUCC